rnacentral:RNase_P_RNA from 1 species
CCAGACUAUCGGCUAAUCGCUUACUUGCAACAUAGUAAGAGGAAAGUCCGGGCAGCAAAGGGAAAUGGCAGUCGUUAACGGCGACCGGGCGCGAGCCUAGGGAAAGUGCCACAGAAACCAAACCGCCUUGGCUCCGGCCAAGGUAAGGGUGAAAAGAGCGGGGUAAGAGCCCGCAGUUGACCGCGGUGACGCGGCCAAGUGGUAAACCCUGCCUGCUGCAAGGAGUUGUUCUGCCAUAUAGACGUCCCGUCGGCAUGACAACAUAAGAACCGCGCGAGCUGUGCGGCAACGUACAGCCAAGAUAGAUGAUUAGCCCCUUUUACAAAGGGACAAAACCCGGCUUACAGAUAGUCUGGCGCC